rnacentral:lncRNA from 1 species
UUAGGAAUAUCCUUGAUCCAGAGUGUUUAAUUUGUGGAAAGAAGAUAGUCACAGAUGAUGCAAUUUUUAAUUUUGGCUCUAUAAAACCAGAUGAAAUCAAAAGCAAGGAGACUGAAAGACUUGCAGCCAAGGGUAUGAACAAGAAUUUCCUUCAGUCUGGACGAUCAAAUUCAUAUAAGGAUGACGCAUUGUUACUGAACCUGAACAGAUGGGAGUGUUCAUUUCCAAAGCACUUUGUGCCCCAUUCACUUGGUUUGGGGUUUCAACAUCCAAUUUGUGAUGCAGAUGAUCGACAUGGAGUUUCAAGGUUUGUUUUCGUGGCUGAAUUCCAAGGACGCUGCUGGGAACUUGUAUGUGAUGAUGUGCUUGCAGAGUCCCAUCACUGGCAAAGCUGCCAAGAUUCUUGGCCUCAUGAGAGGACUCUUUCUGUUCCAGAAUUUCAACGCUAGGACUGUUUGCCUCUGUAUAUUUGGAAUAUAGAUAUGUCUUUCUCUGUGCCUGCUUUCUCCCACUUCCAACUUUACUCUUUCAUUCAGGCUUCACCUAUGUUCAAAAUAUUUUUUCUUUCUCCUUCAGAUUCCUCUUUAAAAACAUCUUGGUUUGUGAACACUCAGGAGUUUGCUCACUUUAGCAUGUUUUGUUGAGGGCUUUGGUUUUGUUUAUAGUACCAUUUUCCUCUUGUGAAACCUUGGAUAAUGCUUAUAACUUCUGUGUUCCCCAGUCUUCCUGCCCAUAAAAUACAGGCAGUGGUGCUGUGGAGAUUAUUCAACCAGGUCUAUGAACCUCGCUGAAAAGUCCCGUUGGAAAGAUAAGCCUAUUAUUAAGACCAAUGCUAUUAGUCACUGCACAAUAGCAAAGCGAAUUUUGGUCUCAGUGGAAAAGAUAUGCAAGGUAGUGUAUGUGUAGUCAGUCUCUUUCUACUUCUAUCAACAUCUAUCUAUGCAACAACAUCAUCUUCUAAACAUUUCUUUUAGGAUGAAAGUGCUCUUAUCAGUAAAAUGGAUAAUUUCUUGCAGCAUUCUUGGAGAUUUACAACAGCCUUCACUCUCCUCUCAAUUCUUGUCAUUAAUGAGAACUAAUGAUGACAUUAUUAAUGUAAUCUGCUAUUUUCUUUUUCUCUGCUUCCACUAAUCAGUCCCACUCAAAUACACUGAGUUUACUGAUAAUCCUGUAGGUUUCUAUAGCAAACUGUACAAGUGAACUGAGUUACCUAUAGAAUAUCCAUAUUUUGCCAUCAGUUUUCUUGCCAAAAGAUGUGGAAUCUUGUUUUUCCAUGUUACAUCCAGAACUUUGGAAGAGUGUUUUGGCAGGCUUCCCAAUGGGCGUGGCUCACAUUCCCAGAGUUCUCUCCAAAGCCGUAAGAAUGGAAAUGAACAGCUAAGAAUUUUCCAGUUUAGAUCAGGCUCUGUGUAUGUUAAGAGAAACAGCAGCAUAACCACAAGUACCAGC